rnacentral:rRNA from 1 species
UGAGGAAUAUUGGUCAAUGGGCGAGAGCCUGAACCAGCCAAGUCGCGUGAAGGAAGACUGCCUUAUGGGUUGUAAACUUCUUUUAUACAGGAAUAAAAAGGCCUACGUGUAGGCCAUUGCAAGUACUGUAUGAAUAAGCAUCGGCUAACUCCGUGCCAGCAGCCGCGGUAAUACGGAGGAUGCGAGCGUUAUCCGGAUUUAUUGGGUUUAAAGGGUGCGCAGGCGGGCUUUUAAGUCAGCGGUGAAAUCUGGACGCUUAACGUCCAAACUGCCGUUGAAACUGGAGUCUUGAGUAUGGAUGAAGUAGGCGGAAUUCGUUGUGUAGCGGUGACAUGCAUAGAUAUAACGAGGAACUCCGAUUGCGUAGGCAGCUUACUAAGCCAUAACUGACGCUCAUGCACGAAAGCGUGGGGAUCAAACAGGAUUAGAUACCCUGGUAGUCCACGCCGUAAACGAUGAUUACUAGUUGUAUGCGAUAUGAUAGUAUGUGACUAAGCGAAAGCGAUAAGUAAUCCACCUGGGGAGUACGCCGGCAACGGUGAAACUUAAAUGAAUUGACGGGGUCAUAGCUGUUUCCUG